GUAGUCUGCAACCCGACUACAUGAAGCCGGAAUCGCUAGUAAUCGCGGAUCAGAAUGCCGCGGUGAAUACGUUCCCGGGCCUUGUACACACCGCCCGUCACACCAUGAGAGUUGGGAAUACCCGAAGCCUGUGAGCUAACUUAUAGAGGCAGCAGUCGAAGGUAGAAUCAAUGAUUGGGGUGAAGUCGUAACAAGGUACC
rnacentral:rRNA from 1 species